GUUCCUUCUUCGCGUUGAUUUUCCUCGCUCCUUCUCAACCAGCGGCUCCGCUCCAUCCAUCCAUCCAUCCACGCUGCUGCUGCUACUUCCCUCCACCAUCUGAACCCCCCUCCCCCCACAACCUGCACCUACGUCGGCUGUUCUUCUAUCUCUCCAUCGGAAAACUGCCGCUGCUCCAUUGCUUCAGCAGGUACAUCACAUGUAUAACGAGAGAGCAAAGAUAAAUACUUGUCCAACCAGAGAUGACUGGAAUAAUGGUGAGCGCUUCAACCGGGGUGAUGAACUCUCUCCUGGGUAAGCUGGCCACCCUGAUGGGGGAGGAGUUCGCCAAGCUAAAGAACCUGAGGAAGGAGGUGAAGCACAUCAGCGAUGAGCUGAGCAGCAUGAAGGAUGCUCUAGAGAGCCUUGCAGAUGUGGAUAUGCUGGAUAAACAGACCGCUAGCUGGAGAGACGCGGUCAGGGAGAUGUCGUAUGACAUCGAGGAUAUUAUCGAUGACUUCAUGUGCAAAAUUGGGGAGAAAAGCAAAAAAACUGGUUUUAUCCACGACACCAUUCAACGCCUCAAAACUUCAAGGGCCCGCCAUCAGAUUGCUGGCCAGAUCGGGGACAUCAAGAAACUUGUGCGUGAAACAAGUGAGCGGCGUGAAAGAUAUAAGAUUGAUGUCCCAAAAUCGGGCAAUGUGGUAGUUGACCAACGCGUUGUGGCACUCUAUGAAGAAUCAUCUAAACUUGUUGGUAUGGAUGGCCCAACCAAUAGGCUUGUCAAUUGGCUAAAAGAUGAGGAGAAGAAGUUGAAGAUUGUAUCAGUUAUUGGUUUUGGAGGUUCGGGAAAAACAACACUUGCCAAUCAGGUAUACCAUAAGCUGGAGGGGGAAUUUCAGUGUGGUGCAUUUUUGGCGGUGUCUCAAAAGCCAAAUAUGCCAAAACUUCUGCAUAGUUUAUUAGCCCAACUUGGGUGUGGACAAUAUUAUCAUGACUGUGAGCUAAAUGUUCUUCUCGACCAAGUCAGAGAAAAUCUAAAAAAUAAGAGGUACUUGGUUAUUAUCGAUGAUCUAUGGGAUGUAUCAGCAUGGAAUAUUAUUAAAUGUGCUUUCCCAGAAAAUAAUCUUGGUAGUAGAUUAAUAGUAACUACAAGAAUCAAGACUGUGGCUGGGGCAUGUUGUUUUGGUUACCAUGAGCACAUUCUUGAAAUGAAACCUCUUAGUGAAGAAGACUCAAGGAAAUUGUUUUUUGGUAGGAUAUUUUGCUCUGAAGAAGCUUGUCCAGGUCAACUCAGAGAUGUUUCAGUUGAGAUUCUCAAGAAGUGUGGUGGUUUGCCACUUGCAAUCAUUUGCAUAUCCAGCCUAUUGGCAAGUGAACGUUCCUACCAAAAGGAGAGGUGGAAACACGUACUGAAUUCAUUGGGGUCUGUGUCAGGCACAAAUCUCACCUUGGAAGCCAUGAGACAGAUCUUGAACCUUAGCUACAAAAAUCUUCCUCACCACCUCAAGACAUGCUUCUUGUAUCUUGGUAUGUUUCUGGAGGACUCUGAAAUAUAUAGGCAUGAGUUGGUAAGCCUAUGGGUUUCUGAAGGCUUUGUUAGUAAAGCACAUGGACAAAAUCAAAAACAGAUUGCGAUAAGUUAUUUUAAUGAGCUUGUCAACAUGAGUCUUAUUCAACCUGCACAGGUUGACAUGCAUGGGUCAGUGUUAACUUGCAAAGUACAUGAUAUGUUGUUGGAUCUUAUCCUGUACAAGUCCGCGGAAGAGAAUUUUAUCACUGUAGUAGACAACCUAGAGGCCAUUACAGGACAGCUUCAAAAGCCCCGUCGGAUGCUCUUCAACUUGGAUGGUGCGACAUUGCCAAGGGACGUUAAUAUGUCACAAGUGCGAUCAUUUGCAAACUGGAGAGGCUCCACGAAUAUACCUUCAUUGGCAGAAUUCAAGUAUCUUCGAGUUUUUAUAGCUGACUUCAGUUCUAGUUCUGUUGAUGACAACCGGAAAAUCGACCUGACAGGAUUGUGUAAGUUAUAUCAGCUGCGACAUAUACAGAUUGAAGGCUGUGAUAACUGCCAGCUACCAACGCAGAUUAGAGGGCUGCAAAAGUUGGAAACAUUUGAUAUAGAUGGGUCCUGUAUCCCAAUGGAUAUUUUUCACCUGCCGUGUUUGUUGUCUCUGCAUAUUUUUCACCUGCCGUGUUUGUUGCCUGAGGGCAUUGGUAAAAUGAAAUAUCUACAGCGUCUGAGAUGGUUUGACACGCUGCACACCUCAAUCGACAGUAUCAAGGGCCUAGGAGAGCUCACCAAUCUGAGACUUCUGUACCUCAGAACCGGUUUUUCUGAAGAUGUGGACAUGGAUGUUCUAAACUCUUCUUUGGCGAAACUUUGUAACCUCGAGUCCCUGAACGUAUUUUCACCUGAUUCUUGGAUACCUGAGGCACUAACCUUGUCGCCUCCUCCCCCCAACCUCAUGGGACUCUCCAUGAUGCGAAUAUCCCGGGUCCCAAACUGGAUUGAGGAACUCCAUAAUCUCCAGAGCUUGCAUAUCACUGUUGAUAAGCUAAACAACGAUGAUGUUGGUAUUCUUGCAGGGUUACCCGCUCUCAUGGACCUGGAAUUAACGUUCAGUAGAGCCCUGGAAGAAACAAUUGUCAUAUAUGGGACAGCAUUCGCAAUCCUGAAGCGGUUUGUUGUCUACUGGACUAUCAUGCCACAACUGACCUUCGAAGCCGGAGCAAUGCCUAAGCUCCAGAGCCUCUCUCUACCUUUGAACGCCAGGGGGUGGAAGAAGGACGAGAGCGCCACACCUACAGGCAUCGAGCACUUGUUAGCACUUGAAAGAAUCUCUGUGGGGAUUGGGAGUGAUACAGAAUCUGAACAGCGAAGUGCAGAGUCUGCCAUUAGGAGCGCUAUCAACAUGCAUCCUGGCCAUGCUCACAUUAAAAUCGACAUCCAAUGUUACUAACAAACAGUGCGGUUUUUUUCAGCAGCUGGGAAGUCAAUGAUUAUUUUCUAUGGAGCAACAAGAUGAGGUACGCCACGGAAGAUUGAGGUGUCUCCAACAUUUAUGUCGUAUUGUAGUGGAUGGAGAUGGAUAACUGCAUUUUCUCCCUGUUGGGAAUAUCGAGCUAUCACUUUGCUUUGUUCUGCUAGAUAUCUCGACGAACUAUUUCUCCUUUGUCUCCAAGAUUAUGCACGAUUAUGCUCUGCUUGGGUUCUUGGUUCUUGUUGUGUGUGUACGUUUGCUUCUUGCAUCAAACGUAUUCAACUGAACAUUUAUUCCUUGUACUGUUUGCAUUUCUUAAAAGGACAGUUUAUAUGUUG